rnacentral:rRNA from 1 species
UAUUGCACAAUGGGGGAAACCCUGAUGCAGCGACGCCGCGUGAGUGAAGAAGUACUUCGGGAUGUAAAGCUCUAUCAGCAGGGAAGAAAAUGACCGUACCUGAUUAAGAAGCCCCGGUUAACUACGUGCCAGCAGCCGCGGUAAUACGUAGGGGGCAAGCGUUAUCCGGAUUUACUGGGUGUAAAGGGAGCGUAGACGGCAGCACAAGUCUGGAGUGAAAUGCCGGGGCUUAACCCCGGAACUGCUUUGGGAACUGUGCAGCUAGAGUGCAGGAGAGGUAAGUGGAAUUCCUAGUGUAGCGGUGAAAUGCGUAGAUAUUAGGAGGAACACCAGUGGCGAAGGCGGCUUACCGGACUGUAACUGACGUUGAGGCUCGAAGGCGUGGGGAGCAAACAG